rnacentral:rRNA from 1 species
UAGCAUAUCAAUAGGGGAGGAAAAGAAACCAACGGGGAUUGCCCUAGUAACGGCGAGUGAAGCGGCAUCAGCUCAAAUUUGAAAUCUGGCUCUUUCAGAGUCCGAGUUGUAAUUUGCAGAGGGCGCUUUGGUGUCGGCAGCGGUCCAAGUUCCUUGGAACAGGACGUCACAGAGGGUGAGAAUCCCGUACGUGGUCGCUGACCUACACCGUGUAAAGCCCCUUCGACGAGUCGAGUUGUUUGGGAAUGCAGCUCUAAAUGGGAGGUAAAUUUCUUCUAAAGCUAAAUACUGGCCAGAGACCGAUAGCGCACAAGUAGAGUGAUCGAAAGAUGAAAAGCACUUUGGAAAGAGAGUCAAACAGCACGUGAAAUUGUUGAAAGGGAAGCGCUUGCAGCCAGACUUGCUUGUAGUUGCUCAUCCGGGCUUUUGCCCGGUGCACUCUUCUGCGAGCAGGCCAGCAUCAGUUUGGACGGUUGGAUAAAGGCCUCUGUCACGUACCUUCUCUCGGGAAGGCCUUAUAGGGGAGGCGUCAUGCAACCAGUCUGGACUGAGGUCCGCGCAUCUGCUAGGAUGCUGGCGUAAUGGCUGUAAGCGGCCCGUCUUGAAACACGGACCAAGGAGUCUAACAUCUAUGCGAGUGUUUGGGUGUCAAGCCCGAGCGCGUAAUGAAAGUGAACGGAGGUGGGAUCCCGCAAGGGUGCACCAUCGACCGAUCCUGAUGUCUUCGGAUGGAUUUGAGUAAGAGCAUGGCUGUUGGGACCCGAAAGAUGGUGAACUAUGCUUGAAUAGGGUGAAGCCAGAGGAAACUCUGGUGGAGGCUCGCAGCGGUUCUGACGUGCAAAUCGAUCGUCAAAUUUGGGCAUAGGGGCGAAAGACUAAUCGAACUAUCUAGUAGCUGGUCUGC